GAAAGAAAAUAGACGACUUCGCGCUAUGCUACAGCUUUAUUGAUAAACUAAAGCGCGAGAGAAACCGAACAAGUUAAGGACAUGUGAACCGUCGUCUGCCUUAGAAAGAUGUGGCGCCGAUGUCAGCGCCGUUCAGAAAGCACAAAGUGUGAAUCGUUAAUCUAUUCGUGGAGAGCGCAUCAAAUUUCAAAGAAAUAUGAGGGCCGUAUAUCGAAGAUUUUCGUGUCAUUUUUACCGUUAUGGACACCGAUUUACAACGAUUUCUGUCCACUACCUCGCCAGCGAGUCAACACCCGCGAUAAGAGGACACUUUCAGCA